AAACCGCUCAGAGUACAAGCCGAUGGCGCUGGAAGGCAACCGGUGGCACGGUGGCAUUGGCUUCGGCUGGUGCUGCCCGAAAUGCUUGAGUACUGGAUAGUUUGGGCUGGUCGCAGCGCGUGCAAAGCGUUGUCCAUGCUCUUUACAGGCGAGAUCGUUCAUGGGUGUUUGCACAGGCUUUGCGGUCUUGCUUCGCCUCUCUGGCGGUCUCGUGCUGGGCGAACCUCUCGAAGCAUCACACGGUCAUUGCCCACCACAGCUCGUUGCUUGGUCACCCGCUGAGUCUUGAUGUGCAGGAUGUUUCAUCCAGCUUUCGGGCAUUGAUUGACGCGUGGAUGGGCGAUGUCUCGCACGGAGGGCUUUUCCGUGCGCAGACAAGCUCGCGUCAAGUCUGUGAAGCCUGGCUCUGACUGCCGACUUGUAGACGUGGUGUGAUCCAUGCGGCGACGAAGCUGCAAUUGGCCAGACAUGUACAGCUCCCAGCCCGCCCGUCAUGUGCCGACGGGUGGGUACCUGCGGGCAGGCUGCUUGCGUCGCAUGCGAAGCAUACGCUCAGCCUGGGAUGCUGGUCUGAUUGGU
rnacentral:rRNA from 1 species